UACGUAGGGUGCAAGCGUUGUCCGGAAUUAUUGGGCGUAAAGAGCUCGUAGGCGGUCUGUUGCGUCGGCUGUGAAAACCCGGGGCUCAACUCCGGGCCUGCAGCCGAUACGGGCAGACUAGAGUUCGGCAGGGGAGACUGGAAUUCCUGGUGUAGCGGUGAAAUGCGCAGAUAUCAGGAGGAACACCGGUGGCGAAGGCGGGGUCUCUGGGCAACUACUGACGCUGAGGAGCGAAAGCGUGGGGAGCGAACAGG
rnacentral:rRNA from 1 species